AAAUUCAUCCAACUGUUGUCAACUUCUAAUCAUAUAUUGAUUGAAAAUAUUGCUUUGUUCAUAUACCAUGCGAUAAUGAAGAGAAACCCACUCUGCUUUUUUGAACUUUGUAUAUACCUGUACUAUGGGCCUGUGGCCUUCAGCCUGGGUUGUGA